ACGGAAGGCAGCAGUGGGGAAUAUUGGACAAUGGGGGAAACCCUGAUCCAGCGACGCCGCGUGAGUGAAGAAGUAUUUCGGUAUGUAAAGCUCUAUCAGCAGGGAAGAUGAUGACGGUACCUGACUAAGAAGCCCCGGCUAACUACGUGCCAGCAGCCGCGGUAAUACGUAGGGGGCAAGCGUUAUCCGGAUUUACUGGGUGUAAAGGGAGCGUAGGCGGCCAGACAAGUCAGAUGUGAAAACCCUGGGCUUAACCCGGGACCUGCAUUUGAAACUGUAGGGCUAGAGUACUGGAGAGGCAAGUGGAAUUCCUAGUGUAGCGGUGAAAUGCGUAGAUAUUGGGAGGAACACCGGUGGCGAAGGCGGCUCACUGGACGAUAACUGACGUUGAGGCUCGAAAGCGUGGGGAGCAAACAGGAUUAGAUACCCUGGUA
rnacentral:rRNA from 1 species